GUAGGUGGCAAGCGUUGUCCGGAAUUAUUGGGCGUAAAGCGCGCGCAGGCGGUUCUUUAAGUCUGAUGUGAAAGCCCACGGCUCAACCGUGGAGGGUCAUUGGAAACUGGAGAACUUGAGUACAGAAGAGGAAAGCGGAAUUCCACGUGUAGCGGUGAAAUGCGUAGAGAUGUGGAGGAACACCAGUGGCGAAGGCGGCUUUCUGGUCUGUAACUGACGCUGAGGCGCGAAAGCGUGGGGAGCAAACAGGGAUUAGAUACCCUGGUAGUCCACGCCGUAAACGAUGAGUGCUAAGUGUUAGGGGGGUUUCCGCCCCCUUAGUGCUGCAGCUAACGCAUUAGGCACUCCGCCUGGGGAUACGGCCGCAAGGCUG
rnacentral:rRNA from 1 species